rnacentral:rRNA from 1 species
UACGGAGGGGGCUAGCGUUGUUCGGAAUUACUGGGCGUAAAGCGCGCGUAGGCGGACCUGCAAGUCGGGGGUGAAAGCCCGAGGCUCAACCUCGGAACUGCCCUUCGAUACUGCGGGUCUCGAGUCCGGGAGAGGUGAGUGGAAUUCCUAGUGUAGAGGUGAAAUUCGUAGAUAUUAGGAAGAACACCAGUGGCGGAAGGA